rnacentral:lncRNA from 1 species
CACAGGGAGUUUCCAGACUGGGAACAUACAGAGGGCUGGGAAGUUGGCCUACAAGGGCCAGGAGUAACUCCACACAUUCUUCCCACACCAAACCCCACACCUCUCUUAACAUUUCCUAAACUGCAUCCUUUAAAAGCUGGCAAAUUUUAAGUCAGGAACUUGGUCGUGCCAGCCAGUUGGAAACAUUGACCCGUCUUCCCUUCGGAUUGGGGCAGAUAGGAUGGGUCAGUGGAUAAGUUUGCUUGCCAAGGAGCCUGAGAGAGAAGCCUGAGUCCAGUUCCUAGAACUCACAUGGUGGAGAGAACUGACUUCUGAAAGUUGUCCUCUGAUAUUCACGUGGCAGGGCGACCAGAAAAUUUUGUUCCAUGUGAGGCUUGCACAAGCUCCAGUGUUACAGUUCCACGAACCAGAGUUAUUUUAGAUAACCAGGACUUCUGCUGGAUUCGAACCUCGAAAGUGUUGUGUUUCCCUACCUCUAAAAGCAGACUGCUUCCUUGUUAUCCUGGGUGGCAGGGCCUGAGUUCUCUUUCCUUGUCUGGAUGUACUGCAGGCUAUCUCCCCUCAUCUAGGGUUGAAGCCAACCUGGAAAGCUCUCUUCUGACUCCUAUCAUCUAUCCUAUCCUGGCUCACCCAGCUCUCAGACUCUACUACAAGGAUUCCUUUUGAAUGAAACAAACAAACAAACAAACCAGAAAUAAAAAAAAAAGGCAUGAUUGCUUCUAGGUGUGGUGGUGAGGAGGCGAGGGUUUACUGUAGAUAUGAGAGCUGCAUAGCCAGAGGCAGAGACAUCUGGGAGAGUCCAGAGUGAACAUGACCCUGAGACAGUCCGGGAGAGAAGGGAGAACCAGGAGAUCAGGAGACCAGGAUCAUAAAGUCUGUGAACCAGAAAACUACAGCUUCUCUCAUCGUCAGGUACCCUCUAACAUACUCAGCCCCAUCAUGGUGAGAUGCUCUCUCUCUUUGGAACAGCCGUCCACACACACACCCGCCCUCUACUCACCUGAUUGCCAAACACAGCCACGGAGCAGGCUGUUGAAACCUCAUCAGCUCCAAACCAGACCGAAGCAAUGCGUGAGGGCAUGCCCAGAAUGAAGACCUGUGCCACAGAGCAGAUGACCUGACCCACCAUUGUGACCGGGAAGAGGUGAGGCUCUAGGCUGCCCAGCUUUACCCAGGCUCCCAGGCAAUUGAGAGCUGAGCCGGUGAUAGCGAUGGUUCGAAGACCAAAUUUCUCCAGCAUCCAGGCCACGGGCAGGAGCAGAGGGAUGUAGGUCAGCAUGUAGCACAUGGACAGCCAAUCAAUGGCAAAGGCACUGACACCGUAGAAGUUCAUGAAGAUGUUAUUGAUGGAGCCGUACUGAAUCCACUGGAAGGCAUUGCACAAGGAGUAGCAACUGAACACCAGGACCACGACCCAACGACGCUUGCUCACCUUGAUCACGCUGUCUUCUCUAACCAAGCUACUAUGAUGGGUCAAACCGCUGGGUUGAGCCAAGGUCUGUCAUUGCUCUCCUCCUGGUUGAGACUUUCAUUCACCAUGACCACAACGAGCUCCUGAAUCCCAGGGCACGAUCACAGCCUGAACAAAGCAAAACCAAACACCAACAGCGUAAAUAACUCGUGUCCAAUAUCCAGGAUUCACCUACAGUCUUCUAACUCCUCCGAAGGGUUUGGGUUACUUCUCUGGCCCUGCCCUCUGCAGCACGCACAGCUUGUCUUCUAGGCUCCAGCUGGCUCCACUCCACCACUGAUGCUGUCCUUGGUGGUCAUUCCAUGGCACCGGCAUCUCCAAAAUACCGGGACUUCUGCAACUGGACUAAUGCACUUUCACCAGUAGCCUCUCCUGGACCUUCAUGGUGCCAAGCCUCAACGUCUCUGCAUGAGUCCUUU